rnacentral:rRNA from 1 species
GAUGAACGCUGGCGGCGUGCCUAAUACAUGCAAGUCGAGCGAACAGACGAGGAGCUUGCUCCUCUGACGUUAGCGGCGGACGGGUGAGUAACACGUGGAUAACCUACCUAUAAGACUGGGAUAACUUCGGGAAACCGGAGCUAAUACCGGAUAAUAUAUUGAACCGCAUGGUUCAAUAGUGAAAGACGGUUUUGCUGUCACUUAUAGAUGGAUCCGCGCCGCAUUAGCUAGUUGGUAAGGUAACGGCUUACCAAGGCAACGAUGCGUAGCCGACCUGAGAGGGUGAUCGGCCACACUGGAGCUGAGACACGGUCCAGACUCCUACGGGAGGCCGCAGUAGGGAAUCUUCCGCAAUGGGCGAAAGCCUGACGGAGCAACGCCGCGUGAGUGAUGACGGUCUUCGGAUCGUAAAACUCUGUUAUUAGGGAAGAACAAAUGUGUAAGUAACUAUGCACGUCUUGACGGUACCUAAUCAGAAAGCCACGGCUAACUACGUG